rnacentral:rRNA from 1 species
GCCUCCAAAAAAUAAAACCCUGAACGCAAUCUCAUCAGAUCUCACAAGCGAAGUAGGGUUAAGUUUGGUGAGUACUUGGAUGCGAAACUGCCUGGGAAUGCCAGGUCUUGUCGGCU